AACAUAAUGACCCAACGCCAUCUCCCAAUCUUGAAUUCUUUGUAUUCGAAGCAGAGGAAGAUGAUGUUGAAGGGGAUUCCUGAUGAGAUUACCCACCUUCUUGAGCACGAAAAGAAGCUCAUUCAGCUGUAUUAUGAGAAUCAGCAAAACAGUCAAACUGGGGCAUUACAAAUGUAAUGUAAAAAAAAAAAAAAAAAAAAN
rnacentral:lncRNA from 1 species